GAGAUAUGAUCAGAAGGUUCUUUCAGAUUCAUCGCAUAGGUUUUUUGAUUUUUGACGUUUUAGACCAAACUAGUGUGGUCCUGAUGAUGGACCACACUAGUUUGGUCCGAAACGUCAAAAAUAAAAAAACUUAUGUGAUGAAUCUGAAAGAACCUUCUGAUCAAAACAA
rfam:Picea glauca, whole genome shotgun sequence.